GAGAAUGCCGGUGUGAGUAGCGAAAGACGGGUGAGAAUCCCGUCCACCGAUUGACUAAGGUUUCCAGAGGAAGGCUCGUCCGCUCUGGGUUAGUCGGGUCCUAAGCUGAGGCCGACAGGCGUAGGCGAUGGAUAACAGGUUGAUAUUCCUGUACCACCUAUAAUCGUUUUAAUCGAUGGGGGGACGCAGUAGGAUAGGCGAAGCGUGCGAUUGGAUUGCACGUCUAAGCAGUAAGGCUGAGUAUUAGGCAAAUCCGGUACUCGUUAAGGCUGAGCUGUGAUGGGGAGAAGACAUUGUGUCUUCGAGUCGUUGAUUUCACACUGCCGAGAAAAGCCUCUAGAUAGAAAAUAGGUGCCCGUACCGCAAACCGACACAGGUAGUCAAGAUGAGAAUUCUAAGGUGAGCGAGCGAACUCUCGUUAAGGAACUCGGCAAAAUG
rnacentral:rRNA from 1 species